AGUUUGAUCCUGGCUCAGGACGAACGCUGGCGGCGUGCCUAAUACAUGCAAGUCGGGCGGAUUUAUCCUUCGGGAUAAGUUAGCGGCGGACGGGUGAGUAACACGUAGGCAACCUGCCUAUAAGACUGGGAUAACUAUCGGAAACGAUAGCUAAGACCGGAUAACUGAUUUUCUCGCAUGAGAAAAUUAUGAAUCACGGAGCAAUCUGUGGCUUAUAGAUGGACCUGCGGCGCAUUAGCUAGUUGGUAGGGUAACGGCCUACCAAGGCGACGAUGCGUAGCCGACCUGAGAGGGUGAACGGCCACACUGGGACUGAGACACGGCCCAGACUCCUACGGGAGGCAGCAGUAGGGAAUCUUCCGCAAUGGACGCAAGUCUGACGGAGCAACGCCGCGUGAGUGAUGAAGGUUUUCGGAUCGUAAAGCUCUGUUGCCCUAGACGAACAGCAAGAGGAGUAACUGCCUUUUGUGUGACGGUAUAGGAGAAGAAAGCCCCGGCUAACUACGUGCCAGCAGCCGCGGUAAUACGUAGGGGGCAAGCGUUGUCCGGAAUUAUUGGGCGUAAAGCGCGCGCAGGCGGUCAAUUAAGUUCGGUGUUUAAGCCCGGGGCUCAACCCCGGUUCGCAUCCAAAACUGGUCGACUUGAGUGUAGGAGAGGAAAGUGGAAUUCCACGUGUAGCGGUGAAAUGCGUAGAGAUGUGGAGGAACACCAGUGGCGAAGGCGACUUUCUGGCCUAUAACUGACGCUGAGGCGCGAAAGCGUGGGGAGCAAACAGGAUUAGAUACCCUGGUAGUCCACGCCGUA
rnacentral:rRNA from 1 species